rnacentral:rRNA from 1 species
UAAAGUGGUACGUGAGCUGGGUUCAGAACGUCGUGAGACAGUUUGGUCCCUAUCUACCAUGGGUGUUGGAAACUUGAGAGGAUUUGUCCCUAGUACGAGAGGACCGGGAUGAACGCACCUCUGGUGCACCUGUCGUGGCGCCAGCCGCGCAGCAGGGUAGCUAUGUGCGGACGGAAUAAACGCUGAAAGCAUCUAAGCGUGAAAUCCCCCUCAAAACGAGGUUUCCCUCGAGAGCCGUCCUAGACCAGGACGUUGAUAGGCCAGGUGUGGAAGAGCCGCGAGGCUUGAAGCUAACUGGUACUAAUCGCUCGAUAGACUUGAAUGC